CAACCCAUUCUCACUCCAAAGGCGUCAAAAACCGAAGCAUGGUCAAGCGCCCCUAGCGUCACUUUUAUGACGCCAAAUGUGCCUCUCGGCGUCGACUAUCGAAGCACUACGACCUUCAUUGCUUUCAGUGGGAAACUUUUGGCGUCAGAAUUCGACACGAGGACAUGAGAUGUUUAUCGCUAUGAAAUCACGUUCAAGAAGUCUCAUUCAGCACACAUCGCGCGAUACUUGCUAUCAGUUCCACAGUUUGGCUGAAAAGACGUAAAGGCAGUCAGCCCAGUGGUGUUUCUGGAGAGGGAUUCCUUCAGAAAUGGAGAAGACAGAAAGCUGCGGAGGCAGAUAUUUGCAGCAUGUUCGAGUGAGCAUGAUGACCACAAGUGUGUGUCGAACUUUUCAUGACCUGAUGACUGUGUUUCCCAAUCCUGAUCCUGGAGAACCCCAGCACUGCACGGUUUUGGCGUCUCUCUUAUCUGCCUUGGAGUCUUCACUGAUGAGCUGAUGAGUUGAAUCAGGAUUGUUUGAGGAUAACACUGCAGUUCUCCAUCAUGCACAAGGACUCACCUCGUUAACUCUUUAUCCCCCACACACACAGAUAUGGUCCCUGGAUCAGUGAUUAGACUUUGCAGUGGUUUGAUUUUUGCAGAAGAUGUAACUUUGUUUUAUUUAUAAGCUCAUAAUGAAUACAUUACAGAACCAGUGAUGAAAACAAUAGUUAAAAAUAGUAUUUUUCGUAUUGAUAAAGCAUUUUGUUCUCUUUUUCAAGCUUCAUACAGUGAACUUUUUAGACUUUAAUUAAGAGUUUUAGUAAAGGAGAUAUUCAUACACAGUCAUCCCCUAGCUCCAGUCAUGAAGUGAAUUCAUGAUGUUAUUGUCAAAGCUAGCAGGUGUUUGUUUUCCUGAACACUUUCUC